CUAUACAUGCAAGUCGAGCGAACAGACGAGGAGCUUGCUCCUCUGACGUUAGCGGCGGACGGGUGAGUAACACGUGGAUAACCUACCUAUAAGACUGGGAUAACUUCGGGAAACCGGAGCUAAUACCGGAUAAUAUAUUGAACCGCAUGGUUCAAUAGUGAAAGACGGUUUUGCUGUCACUUAUAGAUGGAUCCGCGCCGCAUUAGCUAGUUGGUAAGGUAACGGCUUACCAAGGCAACGAUGCGUAGCCGACCUGAGAGGGUGAUCGGCCACACUGGAACUGAGACACGGUCCAGACUCCUACGGGAGGCAGCAGUAGGGAAUCUUCCGCAAUGGGCGAAAGCCUGACGGAGCAACGCCGCGUGAGUGAUGAAGGUCUUCGGAUCGUAAAACUCUGUUAUUAGGGAAGAACAAAUGUGUAAGUAACUAUGCACGUCUUGACGGUACCUAAUCAGAAAGCCACGGCUAACUACGUGCCAGCAGCCGCGGUAAUACGUAGGUGGCAAGCGUUAUCCGGAAUUAUUGGGCGUAAAGCGCGCGUAGGCGGUUUUUUAAGUCUGAUGUGAAAACCCACGGCUCAACCGUGGAGGGUCAUUGGAAACUGGAAAACUUGAGUGCAGAAGAGGAAAGUGGAAUUCCAUGUGUAGCGGUGAAAUGCGCAGAGAUAUGGAGGAACACCAGUGGCGAAGGCGACUUUCUGGUCUGUAACUGACGCUGAUGUGCGAAAGCGUGGGGAUCAAACAGGAUUAGAUACCCUGGUAGUCCACGCCGUAAACGAUGAGUGCUAAGUGUUAGGGGGUUUCCGCCCCUUAGUGCUGCAGCUAACGCAUUA
rnacentral:rRNA from 1 species